UCCGAAUUGGUGUAGUGGCCAACAUUUGACGCUCUCAUGAUAUUCUCAUGACUAGAACCGUCAAGCCCGGGGUUCGAUUCCCCGAUUCGGAG